rnacentral:rRNA from 1 species
UACAGAGGUCUCAAGCGUUGUUCGGAUUCAUUGGGCGUAAAGGGUGCGUAGGCGGCGCGGUAAGUCGGGGGUGAAAUCCUGGAGCUCAACUCCAGAACUGCCUUCGAUACUGGAAAGCUCGAGUCCGGGGAGAGGUGAGUGGAACUGCGAGUGUAGAGGUGAAAUUCGUAGAUAUUCGCAAGAACACCAGUGGCGAAGGCGGCUCACUGGCCCGGUACUGACGCUGAGGUGCGAAAGCGUGGGGAGCAAACAGG